UAACCUGCGGAGGGAUCAUUACACAAUAAAAUAUGAAGGCUGUACGCGGCUGUGCUCUCGGGCCAGUUUUGCGGAGGCUGAAUUAUUUAUUACCCUUGUCUUUUGCGCACUUGUUGUUUCCUGGGCGGGUUCGCCCGCCACCAGGACCACAUCAUAAACCUUUUUUAUGCAGUUGCAAUCAGCGUCAGUAUAACAAAUGUAAAUCAUUUACAACUUUCAACAACGGAUCUCUUGGUUCUGGCAUCGAUGAAGAACGCAGCGAAAUGCGAUACGUAGUGUGAAUUGCAGAAUUCAGUGAAUCAUCGAAUCUUUGAACGCACAUUGCGCCCUUUGGUAUUCCAAAGGGCAUGCCUGUUCGAGCGUCAUUUGUACCCUCAAGCUUUGCUUGGUGUUGGGCGUUUUUUGUCUUUGGUUGCCAAAGACUCGCCUUAAAAGGAUUGGCAGCCGGCCUACUGGUUUCGCAGCGCAGCACAUUUUUGCGCUUGCAAUCAGCAAAAGAGGACGGCAAUCCAUCAAGACUCCUUCUCACGUUNGACCUCGGAUCAGGUAGGGAUACCCGCUGAACUUAAGCAUAUCAAA
rnacentral:rRNA from 1 species